GGUAGCGUUAGCUCAGUUGGUAGAGCAGUUGACUUUUAAUCAAUUGGUCGCAGGUUCGAAUCCUGCACGACCC
rnacentral:tRNA from 1 species